GACGAACGCUGGCGGCGUGCUUAACACAUGCAAGUGGUGCGACGAACCAGGCUUCGGCCUGGGGCAGAGCCGCGAACGGGUGAGUAACACGUGGGCAACCUGCCCUGUUGAUCGGGACAACCCGGGGAAACCCGGGCUAAUACCGAAUGUGGUGCCGGCUCAUGAGAGCCGUCACGAAAGGUAGCUUCGGCCUCCGGCCGAGGAUGAGCCCGCGGCGGAUUAGCUUGUUGGUUGGGUAACGGCCUACCAAGGCGACGAUCCGUAGCUGGUCUGAGAGGACGAUCAGCCACACUGGGACUGAGACACGGCCCAGACUCCUACGGGAGGCAGCAGUGGGGAAUCUUGCGCAAUGGGCGAAAGCCUGACGCAGCGACGCCGCGUGAGGGAAGAAGGCUUUCGGGUUGUAAACCUCUUUCAGGAGGGACGAAGCCACUCGGGUGAAUAGCCCAGAGGGUGACGGUACCUCCAGAAGAAGCCCCGGCUAACUACGUGCCAGCCGCCGCCGUAA
rnacentral:rRNA from 1 species